UCCGUAGGUGAACCUGCGGAGGGAUCAUUACCGAGUUUACAACUCCCAAACCCCCUGUGAACUUAUACCAUUUACUGUUGCUUCGGCGUGUCAUGGCCCCGGGGAAGGACAGCGGUCGCCGUCAGGCCUCAGCUGCCCGCCCCCGGAAACAGGCGCCCGCCGGGGAACUCAAACUCUUCUGUUUUUCUUUAUCUAAUAUAUACUGUCUGAGUAAAAACUAAAAUGAAUAAAAACUUUCAACAACGGAUCUCUUGGUUCUGGCAUCGAUGAAGAACGCAGCGAAAUCCGAUAAGUAAUGUGAAUUGCAGAAUUCAGUGAAUCAUCGAAUCUUUGAACGCACAUUGCGCCCGCCAGUAUUCUGGCGGGCAUGCCUGUUCGAGCGUCAUUUCAACCCUCAAGUCCCCUGUGGACUCGGUGUUGGGGACCGGCGAGACAGCCGCGGAUCUUCUUCCGCAGCGAGUCGCCGCCCCCCAAAUGACUUGGCGGCCUCGUCGCGGCCCUCCUCUGCGUAGUAUAGCACACCUCGCAACAGGAGCUCGGCGAAUGGCCACUGCCGUAAAACCCCCCAACUUUUUCAGAGUUGACCUCGAAUCAGGUAGGAAUACCCGCUGAACUUAAG
rnacentral:rRNA from 1 species